rnacentral:rRNA from 1 species
AUUGAACGCUGGCGGCAGGCCUAACACAUGCAAGUCGAACGAGUGGCGGACGGGUGAGUAAUGUCUGGGAAACUGCCUGAUGGAGGGGGAUCACUACUGUAAACGGUAGCUAAUACCGCCUACCAUCGGAUGUGCCCAGAUGGGAUUAGCUAGUAGGGGGGGUAAAGGCUAACCUAGGCGACGAUACCUAGCUGGUCUGAGAGGCUGACCAGCCAGACUGGAACUGAGACACGGUCAAGACUCCUACGGGAGGCAGCAGUGGGGAAUAUUGCACAAUGGGGGCAAGCCUGAUGCAGCAAUGCGGCGUGUAUGAAGAAGGCCUUCGGGUGGUAAAGUACUUUCAGCGGGGAGGCGUUACCCGCAGAGGAAGCACCGGCUAACUCCGUGCCAGCAGCCGCGGUAAUUC